AUGAACGCUGGCGGCGUGCCUAAUACAUGCAAGUCGAGCGAACGGACGAGAAGCUUGCUUCUCUGAUGUUAGCGGCGGCCGGGUGAGUAACACGUGGAUAACCUACCUAUAAGACUGGGAUAACUUCGGGAAACCGUAGCUGAUACCGGAUAAUAUUUUGAACCGCAUGGUUCAAAAGUGAAAGACGGUCUUGCUGUCACUUAUAGAUGGAUCCGCGCUGCAUUAGCUAGUUGGUAAGGUAACGGCUUACCAAGGCAACGAUGCAUAGCCGACCUGAGAGGGGGGAGCGCCACUCAGGACGUGAACCGCGGCCCAGACCCCUAGGGGAGGCAGAGAUGGGGAAUUUUCCGAAAAGGGGGAAAGCCUGACGGAACAACGCCGGGGGGGUGAAGAAGGUUUUCGGUUCGUAAAACUCUGUUAUUAGGGAAAAACAUAUGUGUAAGUAACUGUGCAAAUUUUGACGGUACCAAAAAAGAAAGCCACGGCUAACUACGU
rnacentral:rRNA from 1 species